UGUUGUCAGGCAAAAUAUAAGACAGCAGUAGGAGCAGAGAUCUGCAAUAGAUAAACACACAGACUAACACACCAGCUGGAUUGCUUGCAGACACACACACUACAAGCACCGAGAGACUCACACAGAAGAAUUCGGGGAUUGUGGCUCUGAUUCCUUCAAAUCUGAUGUUGACGGGCUUAUUGUCAUCCAUCCUUUCAGCGGAAAACAGCCUCCGACAGAGAGCGGGGCAGGUGUGCCCUUUAAGAGAGGGAGCAGCUGAGGCAAGGACAGCAUCCCGAGUCUCCAUCCUCUGUGGAGGUUUGGCAGUUCUGAAGCGUGCGAGAAAGAGGGGUGGUCAGUCAAAGCUUUCUGGUUUUCUGUUCUCCCACCCUACUCCUGGAAAUAGGCUGCAAUGGUUGGCAGUAUUCAAAGGCCUAAACCUGUCUGAGAGAGCCAUAUGAAUAGCAGACCCAAUGGACAUCAAAGGCCAGUGUUGGACAGACGAGGAGUCGGAUGGGGAAAACGAAUCGGAGCAGUUCCUGUAUGGCAUUCAGUGUUGCUUGUUACAGGGGAGCUGUGCUGCUGACCUGUACCGCCACCCACAACUGGAUGCAGAUAUUGAAGCAGUAAAAGACAUCUAUACUGACAGUGCUGUCUCUGUUAGGGAGUAUGGAACCAUUGAUGACGUGGACAUCGAUCUUCAUAUUAACAUUGGUUUCUUAGACGAGGAGGUUGCGACAGCUUGGAAAGUUAUCAGAACAGAGCCCAUUAUUCUGAGACUGCGCUUUUCUCUUUCUCAGUACCUCGAUGGACCUGAGCCGUCGGUAGAAGUGUUCCAGCCAUCCAAUAAAGAAGGCUUCAGCUUGGGCCUGCAGCUCAAAAAGAUCCUGAGCACAUUCACCUCACAGCAGUGGAAGCACCUCAGUAAUGAGUUCCUCAAGGCCCAGCAGGAGAAGAGACACAGCUGGUUCAAAGCGGGAGGAACCAUCAAGAAGUUCCGUGCCGGGCUCAGCAUCUUCUCCCCCAUACCCAAGUCUCCAAGUUUUCCUCUGAUCCAAGAUACAGUUUUAAAAGGGAAGCUUAGUGUCCCUGAGCUGAGAGUGACCCGCCUGAUGAACCGCUCUAUCUCAUGUACCAUGAAGAAUCCCAAAGGAGAACUCUUCAGCUAUCCACCUAACAGCCAGACUGUGGCUGUCCCGGCGGCCAGGGCCCCAGCGCAGAUUACCACGAGGCAGCUGAUUGAAUUGUUUUUCUCAUCCCAGGCGGGCGGCCACUGCAAGAACAUUCCUACCUUGGAGUACGGCUUCUUAGUGCAGAUAAUGAAGUACUCAGAGCAGAGGAUCCCAACUCUCAACGAGUACUGUGUGGUGUGUGAUGAACAGCACGUCUUUCAGAAUGGAUCCAUGCUGAAGCCUGCUGUGUGUACCAGAGAGCUAUGUGUGUUCUCCUUUUACACUCUGGGUGUGAUGUCAGGAGCUGCAGAGGAGGUGGCCACUGGAGCCGAGGUUGUGGAUCUACUUGUUGCCAUGUGUCGAGCUGCUCUUGAGUCUCCCCGCAAGAGCAUCAUCUUUGAGCCCUACCCCUCAGUCGUUGACCCUAAUGACCCCAAGACUCUGGCCUUCAACCCAAAGAAGAAGAAUUAUGAAAGACUGCAGAAAGCAUUGGACAGCGUCAUGUCCAUUCGGGAAAUGACCCAGGGCUCAUAUCUAGAGAUCAAGAAACAGAUGGACAAACUUGACCCUUUGGCUCAUCCCCUGCUGCAGUGGAUUAUUUCCAGUAACAGAUCUCAUAUCGUCAAGCUGCCUCUGAGUAGGCAACUGAAAUUCAUGCACACCUCCCACCAGUUCCUGCUGCUCAGCAGUCCCCCUGCCAAGGAGGCUCGUUUUCGCACUGCCAAGAAGCUCUACGGCAGCACCUUUGCCUUCCAUGGUUCCCAUAUAGAGAACUGGCACUCUGUUCUGAGAAAUGGACUAGUCAAUGCCUCUUAUACCAAACUGCAGGUACGUAACCCUGGCAGUUGGCUGGAAUUUACGAUGCAUCUCCUCUCGGACAGAGAUCCUGCUCUCAGACAGAGCAGGCUCACUGUCCGGCUGAUUCAUUUUUGCAGUUAAUGGAUGCCAGCUUCCCUUUUCGUCACCUUUGCAAUAUUGGCAUUUUAGCGAGCAGGGCACACUAGGAGAUUUCCUGGCACAUGCUGGCUGAAUUUUUUUUUGCCUCCUCUGCCAGCAGCAGCAGACAGCACAUCUCUUCCUGUUGUGGGACAAAGGGAGGGGGCUGUGGUGUCAGCUGUAAUGCCAGGGAAAUGCUGUUGUGCCCUGUGGGGUUUAACCACCUAGAGCAUGGAGUAGGUUAGGUCUGGAGCUGAAGGAUGCAGUGGAAGAACACCGAGGUAGUGAGUAUAGACUUCCUGGGGAUGAAUGCAAAGGUCAGUGACUAGAACAACUAAAUAAUAGCCUCAAGUCAUUCGGAAAGUUUGCUGAAGCCAGUGAUUUCGAGGCAGAAAAACAAAACCCAAUUCUUCUUCCUAAUGGGUUCCUUUUUCACUCAUGUCUGUGUCUUUAUGUUAUUCUGUUAAAGCUGGAGCGUUUCUGUGUGACCCUGGUCUGCAAAAGAAAGCACAUUAACAAAACAAGUAAAGAAGUAGAGGGCGCUCAAUUGUUUCGUUGCACAAUACUGCCGAUUAUGACUGCUUGGAGACCAUCGGCUACGUCCUGGAAAGAGAUGAAACACAAUUAAGUCUGAAAUAUCAAGGAUCUUUGAAACUUUCAUGUCGGCUGUGAUUGCUCUAUCAUGCUGAUGUGUUUCAUUUAUGCCGUCUUUGUUCACCAACUUUUUUGAACCUCUCCAUCUUUGAUCUUGCCUCAGUGCUCAUCCGCCUCCUCUUUUUCCACUCCUCUUCACCUUGAGCACUGACACCCCCCCCCCCUCCUUUGUCAUUGUAUUUCACAGGAGGAGGAGGAGAUGGAAGGAGUCUGUCUCCAGCUCCUGCAGUCACACAAAACUCUUGUUUAUUGUUCCUUUUGAUUUCUUCCAAAUGUGCCAAGUCCUGUCCUCAUCUUCCUCACAUCUUUAUUUCCUAAACCACUGAGUCAAUUUUUGUUCUUGUUUCUUCCUGGCUUCUGCUGUGGCUUGUGGAGACUGCACCUGCAGUCCUUUUCUUGUCCUGACAUCUUCCCAAUCUUGUGUGGAGGUUCAUUAUAAUUGUCAGACAUCUUCAUUCCUUGUCAUCUUUAAGUUGAAGCCAGCGCACGUUGUCUCAUUUCUCAUGUCAGAAUUUCUUGAAAAUCAGAACUACUCACAAAUUUGAUUCACAAAGUUUCAGAGCUUUGCAUGAGCUCCAACAGAUCACAUGAAGAUGUUAGAGGGACAUUUUGGCACUUUAAAGGUUUGUCUCUGAAUUACAGGAGUGUUUUUAUACCAUUGAAUUAACUACUUUUUCUGAACCUUGCUCUUUGCUAUCCACCGUCUUUGGUUGUGUUUGUGUCUGAGUGAGUGUGUUUAUUUAAUAUAUUUUGUCAGUUGUGUUAAGAGAUACAGAAACAUAAAGAACAGGACUUCAACAUGCUACCUUGUAAUGUAACCUCAGUAGGAUAUGUCUGUAUUGCAUUCUGUGUGAGAGUGCUCAGUGACCCUUCCUUCCUUCCUGCUCUUUUCAAACCCAAGCUGCAUGGGGCAGCGUAUGGAAAGGGCAUCUAUCUCAGCCCCAUCUCCAGCAUAUCUUUUGGAUACUCAGGUAGGGAUGGCUCAGUCCUCGCUCCCCUCAGGCUCUCCUCUACCCUUUUUAUCCACCAUGUUGACUGAGUAAGCCCUGUGUUUGUAUCAUGGCCUGAAUAUCAUCCUGGAUCACUUCAUUUCCACACGUGGGAGCUUUCCAUGUUUUCCUGUUGUGCUGUUUGUGUUGUGUGUCCAUUUUUGGGUGCUGGGCCUCUGGCCUUUUCUCUGAGCUUGUGUGCCAUCUAUCAUACAUUCUGUUGUGACUGUGUAAAGUCGGGCUACCAGUGGAUCUGUACGUGUGACAAUGUGCUGUGUCGGCUCUUUGUAUUUUCUUUUUGUUUGUUGCAGGUGUCGAGCAACUUUCAACCCUGUGUUACUUUCCUUUGUUUCCACUGAAACACAAUAUCUGAAGCUGAUUGUUAGCUCUUAUUGUAGCAUUCUGCUUUUGGUCCUGGUUCAAGGUCAACCAGUUUCAGAAGAGCGUCCUGAUUUCACUGUUAUGAGACACCUGUUAGUUUCCCAGGUCUGGGACAGGUGUGAGAUCAUUCUAAAGAUUACUACAGUUUCUAACAUUCGUAAUAUUUUGCUCACUUUUUUCUUGCUGAAUCAAAAUCAGGAGAAAGUAACACUUAGUUUUAUCACAUCACUUAACUGAACUAGUUUAUUUAUCUUAUUUUACUUUUAUAUUUUAUCUGCACAUCAUAAAAACAACAACAAUAUACACUAAUGGUAUCUUAAACAUUGUGCAGGGGAGGUUAGAAUAAAGAGGCUUAUGAAGAUACCUCCCCUCUUGGUAAACAAGAGUUAUAAAAUACAGAAGUGAAGUAACUAGUUGUAAUUUCCUGUUUGCGUGAAUACUAAAGACUGUUAAAUGUCGAAAUACUCAGAAGUAUUUUUGAAAAAUCACCUUCACCUGAAGGUUUGCACUGUGGGUAAUAAUUUAUCCGUAGAAGGAGUUCGAGACCGCUAGAAGAAGGUUUUUCACAGCUUGAGUGACUUGAGGUAAGGUCGUUCUGACUCUGGCUUGUUGGCUCUCUGUGUGCUGCGUCUUGUAGGAAUGGGGAAAGGACAGCACCGUAUGCCCACCAAAGAUGAACUGGUGCAGCGUUACAACCGUAUGAACACUAUACCACAGAGCCGUCCGAUACAGUCAAGGUUUCUUCAGAGUCGAAAUCUGAACUGCAUUGCUCUGUGUGAAGUGAUCACAUCUAAGGAUCUGCAGAAACAUGGCAACAUCUGGGUGUGUCCAGUUUCUGACCACGUCUGUACUCGCUUCUUCUUUGUGUAUGAGGAUGGCCAAGUAGGAGACGCCAACAUCAACACCCAGGAGCCUAAGGUGCAGAAGGAGAUCAUGCGUGUGAUUGGGACCCAGAUCUACUCCAGCUAAUGGAGGUUCUCCAGAAGUCGCUUUGGCGGAGGCACACAGGCAGGCAGACGGUGAAUGUUUGGGUGAGCUGACCUCGGGCCUGUUACUGAGGGCUGAGGAAGCUCUUGAGCACAUUAUUUCUAAAGUCCUUUGGUUCUGGUGUGAUCAUAUUCCUCUUCCCUGUAUUUCUCUUCUCCAAGUGUUAUGCAUUAUAUGUUUAAUACACCCACAGUAAGUUUUGAGUCAGUUUUUCUCAGUUCAAUCACAGCAGAACUACACACCAGUAAGAAAGAAUGAAGAAGCUGUCCAUACAUGAAUACACUCCUAAAGUUCUAGGUCAACUUGGCCUCCUCCUGAUUUUGCUGCACCUUUACUGAUCUUUUGAAAGUAUCUCUAUUUAUCGUUUCUCUUCUUGGAUAUCUAAAAAAAAAUCCCCAAUUAAGAUUACAUCCCUUUGUGGCAAGGAAGUGAUGGAUUUACAUGCUAAUUCAAUUUGUCCUUUUGGUGUUUUUGUAAAAACAUGAUUCCCAAUUUGUUUGUUUGAUAUCUCUGAGAUUUAGGUUUGUGACAUUGUUAUCUGGGAGGCGAGCGCUACUCUGUUCUGUUUUCUUAUUCAUUGUAUGGAAUUCCAUGAGUCCUCAAAGCAAGGUGUGUCUUAAACUCAACACUGUAGGCACUUUGUUUUUGAUGUCAUUAUGAAAUGUAAAAAUCCUACCAUUAACAGUAUUUCUUCGUCGCUAAAUUAAUACACUUAUGAUGCACCUUUGAAAUGACAUAGCACCCAGAUGUCAAACUUAAUGAAGUGGAAACAACAAAUUCUUCUGUGACUGAGCUGAAGUGUAACAUUUCAGAUUCAAGAACAACAACAACAACAACAACAUGGCUCACGCAGUUUCCUCCAAGCUUCAUUUAUAAGGGCUGCUAUUACUGCAAAUCCCCCUGGGAAUAAACACCCAGGUUUAAAUGCUUUUGUGUUUUCAGAUAUUUUAAGUUGAUUAAACUUACGCUCAGUUUAUUUUGCAAUAUUUCCUACAUCUAUGUGUGUGAACAGCCAGACAUGGUACUUGUCAGGGAAAUCAAGGAAAUUGAUAGUCAAACAAUUAGUAUUAUUUUUGCCUUAUUCAUCAACUACUGUGCCCCUAAGGUGUUCAAAUCUCAUGAUAACUCUUCUUUUAGUAGAUUCCAAAUGUCAGCUGCAGUGAGUUUGAUGUCACCAGUUGUUGAAAUUUGCGAAGUGGAAGAUAUUUCAGUCAAAUCUUUCAAAAAUUCCCUGUGUUGUUUGCCCCUUAAAACAAGAAACACAGAUACUGAUUCAGUUCAAUCUAUAAUACUGUCAUCUUAUAUUCCUGGAAGACCAAAAAAAUCAAAUUGGAAUGAACCUGGUGGCAUAUCCGUUGCAUGUGUUUGAAAAAAAGAUAAAACACAACAAUAUGUUUUUUGCCAUCAUUUUAUUUAAGCAUUUAAGCAGUCAUGUUUUUUUUUCUUUAACUGGUCUUCAUCUUCAUCCCUUUGUGUAUGAGCUAAACUUCUCAUUGGAUUCACCACUUACAAAACCUACUGUACAGAGACUCACGGACAGUUAACCAAACCAUCUUCUGAUCCAGUCGAGGUGAGCUCACAUCCUCUCUGCCCCCUCCUAAUGGACACUGGAUGUUAAAAAUCAGCAUUAAUGUGCAAAUCUAUGGUUUCACCUCGGAGAACGGCAACCUUGUAUAGCUAAUCAAGUUUAUAAGUUAGUCAUGUACUGUAUGUAUGUAUGUACGUAUGUACGUGUGGGUUUGUAUUUUCUUGACAUUAUACUAGACAUUGCACUUAUUCAAAGUUUGCCUAAGCUGGAGAAAUAGACUGUCCUGGGACCUUCAGUAGACUGGUACUAUUGGAGGACAACAAGGCGGGAAGGUAUUCAAGGAGACAGCAAGACUGUAAUAUCCAACAUCUGAUCUACGUCUGUACUGAGAUGAGCUUUUGAGUGUCUCCAGGAACAUAGAAUUCUACUACUACUGAAUGAACUAUUGAGGCACUUAAGAGUGAAAGGACAUUGGAGACCUGGUUGAAAUGUAUUGCCCAGAGAGAAGUGGACAUGUACAGCUUACUCUUUGUGUUGCAGGACUGUGCUAAUAGCUGAUGCCUGUUUUUUUUUGUUUUUUGUUUUUUUUUGCCAAGAGAUUCGAGCUUUCAGAAUCUCUUCUCUGGCUGUCUGUGAGUGAUGUUUUCAAGGAUGAUGUCGACAACAAUGAUGGUGAUUACAAUGAUGAUGAUAAAAGGCGACGAUGCAGGAGAAAAAAAAAGAAUAAAGCCUGAUUUUGCACAGUUUUA